rnacentral:lncRNA from 1 species
AUGCCCAUCAUUGUGCCAGCCCCAUCUCCCUGUUCGCAUCUCCCUGUGCCCACCCGAUCCCCCUGUCCCCUUCCCCCUUGUGCCACUGCCAGCUCCCUGUGCCCACCCCAUCCCAUGUCCUCGUGUCUGUGGGCCCCCCCUGCCCCAUCUCCCUGUCCCCAAUUCCCCUGUGCCCAUCCCUGUGCCAGCCCCAUCCUCAUCCCCCUGCACCCAUCCUCUUGUACCCACCCUGUCCCCGUCUCCAUGUGCCCAUCCUGGUGCCUACCACAUCCCAACUCCUUGUACCCAUCCCCAUGCCCACUGUCCCCAUCUCCUGUCCCCAUCCCCAUGACCACCCCCAUGUACCCCUUCAUCCCCUUCGCCCCGUGCCCACCGUCCUGUGCCCUCCCCAUUUCCUUGUCCCUAUCCCUUUGUCCUGAUCUCCUUGUCCCCAUCUCCUCAGCUCCAACCCCUCUGCCCUCCCAGCCUCCUUGUCCCCAUCACCUUGUCCCCAUCCCCAUGUGCCCACCCUGUUGUGCCCUCCCCAUCUCCUUGUCCCCAUCUCCUUGUCCCCAUUCCCCUGUGCCCGCUCCCUCCCCAUCUCCCCACACUCAACCCCAUGCCCCCACCCGUCCCUAUCGCCCCGUCCCCCCCCAGGUCCCGGUGCCCCAGCGCCGUGCCCAUCCUGGGGCACCCACGUGCGGUACAGGCGGGGCAGCCCGCAGUGGGCACGGAAGCGGGACAGCAGCCGGUUCUCCAGGUCGAUGGUGGUGCUGCCGAUCUCCUGGUCGGGAGGCAGCAGGUCGUAGUCCAGCAGCGAGACCCGCAGAUCCUUCUCCAGCGGGAUGGUGCCCGUCACCUCGAACAUCCUGGCAGCACGGUGCCGUCAGCCCCGGGGACCAGCACCCGUGGACAUGGGGACACCCAAGGGUAUGGGGAUACCCAAGGGUAUGGGGAUACCCAAGGGCAUGGGGACCCGCUGGCACAAGAAUGGGGACCUACAGGCAUGGACCUGCUGGCAUGGGGACUUGGUGGCGUGGGGAACUGGUGGGAUGGGGACCUCCUGGCACAGGGACCUGCGAGCACGGGGACUUGGUGACAUGA